GAAGAAAGAGGGAGGAGUGAUUAACACAUGCAAGUCGAACGGAAAGGCCCUGCUUUUGUGGGGUGCUCGAGUGGCGAACGGGUGAGUAACGCGUGAGUAACCUGCCCUUGACUUUGGGAUAACUUCAGGAAACUGGGGCUAAUACCGGAUAGGAGCUCCUGCUGCAUGGUGGGGGUUGGAAAGUUUCGGCGGUUGGGGAUGGACUCGCGGCUUAUCAGCUUGUUGGUGGGGUAGUGGCUUACCAAGGCUUUGACGGGUAGCCGGCCUGAGAGGGUGACCGGCCACAUUGGGACUGAGAUACGGCCCAGACUCCUACGGGAGGCAGCAGUGGGGAAUAUUGCACAAUGGGCGGAAGCCUGAUGCAGCAACGCCGCGUGCGGGAUGACGGCCUUCGGGUUGUAAACCGCUUUCGCCUGUGACGAAGCGUGAGUGACGGUAAUGGGUAAAGAAGCACCGGCUAACUACGUG
rnacentral:rRNA from 1 species